rnacentral:rRNA from 1 species
GACAGAGGAGCCAAGCGUUGUCCGGAUUGACUGGGCGUAAAGCGCACGCAGGCGGGUGCGCGCGUGGGGUGUGAAACCUGGCCGCUUAACGGCCAGCGGCCAUCCCAUACGGCGCGCCUGGAGCCUUGCAGAGGGCGGUGGAAUUGCCGGUGUAGUGGUGAAAUGCGUAGAGAUCCGGAGGAACACCAGUGGCGAAGGCGACACGCUGGGCCGUACCUGACACUGAUACGCGACAGCAUGGGGAGCGAACGGG